GGGUGCUUGGAUCAAUCUGGUUCAAGCAUGUCGCAAGUGCCAGAAAGAGAAAAGCCCCGGAAAAUAUAUUGUAUAUUAACCGAGGCGGACUCAAAUCCCAAGAAAUUUGAUUCUGCCUCCAUUUUUAUCGGAGUGCAAGAGGAAAUGAAAAAAUA
rnacentral:antisense_RNA from 1 species